UACAGGGGGGGCAAGCGUUGUUCGGAAUUACUGGGCGUAAAGGGCUCGUAGGUGGCCAACUAAGUCAGACGUGAAAUCCCUCAGCUUAACUGGGGAACUGCGUCUGAUACUGGAUGGCUUGAGUUUGGGAGAGGGAUGCGGAAUUCCAGGUGUAGCGGUGAAAUGCGCAGAUAUCGGGAAGAACACCCGUGGCGAAGGCGGCUCUCUGGGACGGUACUGACGCUGAGACGCGAAAGCGUGGGGAGCGAACAGG
rnacentral:rRNA from 1 species